rnacentral:rRNA from 1 species
UCUUGGUCCAUUAGAGGAAGUAAAAGUUGGUCCAAAGGAUGAGGUGAAGAACCAGCGGAGGGAUCAGUAGGGAGUCUACAAGUAGCAACCCCAAUGUGAGCCAUCCCAAAGGGUUGCCUCGGCGGGGUCACGCCCCGGGUGCGUGGCAGCCCCGGAACCAGGCGCCCGCCGGAGGGACCAACCAAACUCUUUGUGUAGUCCCCUCGCGGACGUUAUUUCUUACAGCUUUGAACAAAAAUUCAAAAUGAAUCAAAACAAUCAACAACGGAUCUUCAGGUUCGGGCAUCGAUGAAGAACGCAGGGAAAUGCGAUAAGUAAAUUGAAUUGCAGAAUUCAAUGAAUCAUAGACUCUGAGUACGCGCAUUGCGGCCGCCAGUAUUCGGGCGGGCAUGCCUGUGGGAGCGUCAUUUCAACCCUGGAACCCCUCCGGGGGUCCGGCGUUGGGGACUUCGGGAACCCUUAAGACGGGAUCCCGGCCCCGAAAUACAGUGGCGGUCUCGCCGCAGCCUUUCCUGAGCAGUAGGGGCACAACUCGCACCGGGAGCGCGGCGCGUCCACGUCCGUAAAACACCCAAUUUUUGAAAUGUGACCUCG